rnacentral:rRNA from 1 species
AUGCAGUCGAGGGGUAACGAUGUCUUCGGACAGGCGACGACCGGCGCACGGGUGAGUAUCGCGUUUGUAACCUACCUUUAACUGGAGAAUAGCCCGAAGAAAUUCGGAUUAAUACUCCAUAACACUAUGAACUGGCAUCUUUUUAUAGUUAAAGCUCCGGCGGUUAAAGAUGGGCAUGCGUAACAUUAGAUAGUUGGUGAGGUAACGGCUCACCAAGUCUACGAUGUUUAGGGGGUCUGAGAGGAUGGUCCCCCACACUGGUACUGAGACACGGACCAGACUCCUACGGGAGGCAGCAGUGAGGAAUAUUGGUCAAUGGGCGCAAGCCUGAACCAGCCAUGCCGCGUGAAGGAUGACAGCGCUACGCGUUGUAAACUUCUUUUGUACAGGAAGAAACGCUUCUACGUGUAGAAGUCUGACGGUACUGUACGAAUAAGCACCGGCUAACUCCGUGCCAGCAGCCGCGGUAAUACG